UCUUAGAAUGGACAUCGGAUGACGGCAAUGAAUUAAUUAUGCCGAAGGAGGUACUGGAAGGUCUCCAACCACAUCAGGAUCUCAAACGUUUGACGAUCAGAGGGUACACUGGUGUCAGAUCACCCAGUUGGCUGCAGGCACAAUUGUUAGCGAACCUGAUAACUCUUGGUUUGAAAAAUUGCAAAGCAUGGGAGGAUAUUUCAUGUAUUGGACAGCUACCGAAUCUCAAGAAACUUUACGUGAAGGGAAUGCCUGCAGUGAAACAAAUAAGUCAUGGAUUAAGUACAGAGAGCAAGUUCUUGC
rnacentral:lncRNA from 1 species